UGUUUUUGGUAAAUUUGCUUUAAAUUUGUCUACUAGUUGUGCACUUGUAUGAGUAAGUGAACACGCCAAAGAACAAUCGAAAAGAAAAAACCAGAAUGGUGAAAACAGAAGGAAAGAUAACAGAUUUGGAAUCAGUGAAGAGGUACUUGGAGAAAGGAGAAUCUUCAAAUUCAAAGCAGGAACACGAAUUUCCCAAAAAGUUUUUAGAACCUCUGGUCUUUCAUGACCUACGCCUCGAUCUCAUUCAACCUGGCCGUGUCGUCUUCUCAAUGAAGAUACCGCCACGACUACUCAAUUCAGCUAAAUACUUACACGGUGGUGCCAUCGCUACUCUGGUAGAUGUGGUUGGCGCAGCCGCAGUUCCCGCCGCGGGUUUUCCAUGGGAUUCCGGAGUUUCCCUCGAGAUCAACGUCUCAUGCUUGGAUGCUGCAUAUGUUCAUGAGGAGAUUGAGAUCGACGCGCGAGUUCUACGAGUAGGAAAGACUAUAGCUGUUAUAAGCGUGGAUUUGAGGAAGAAAAAUACUGGCCAAAUAUUUGCUCAGGGCCGUCAUACCAAAUAUCUUCCGGCUAUUACUAGUAAAAUAUGAAACUCAUUACAGAGUACAGAACAAGAGAUUGGAAAUUUUUCAUUACUUUUCACAUUCAAUUUUCAGGUGAGAUUUAGGUUUUGUGAAAUAAAUUGAUUCAACUAUUCAAGGAUUGAUCGGUAUGAUAUUGAAUAUUUGAAAUUAGUUUCUUAGGUUAAAGAGACAUAUCAGACCUCCCAAAAUAUAGUCGCUGACAAUCAAGUCAUAACUUAUUCACGGAUUGAGUUGGGUUGGAUAUGAUCCAAAAUAGAAACAAAAAGAAAAUUGAAUCAAAUGUGUUAGAUUUGAUUGAAUUGUUGGAUUGAUCGAGUUAGUUCAUACUUUUUCCCCAAAUAAUAGUAGUUUCCUAUCCUGAGAACUACUAUCCAACUACUUUCUUCAUUGAGUUCUGGUUACUGUCAAAUAAUUUGAUAGUUUUGAAUGAGACCGGAACUGAACUAUCACUUAAUCUGGAAGUUGAUCCUAUUAGCAUGACAGAAUACCAAUUAUGCCUGCAAAUGGAUUAGUCCUUCCGGGUUCGGCGUAGUUACGGAAGCAUGAUUGAAGUCCAGGCUGAUGAAAUUAAGAAUAACAGAACUGAGAGGAUACAUAUGAUGAGGUUCUGAUAUCGAAAUCAUAUGCAGGGAAUAAAACAAAAGUGUGACGAUAUUGCAAUGAAGUAUUUAACCUAUGCUCUAUUUCUCUUUGCUGUUGGCUUUGCUGUUUAUUCACUUAGGACUCUUUAAGAGUGUUUUAUAUCCAAAGACAUGCGAGUGAUCUUAACUAUAGUAGAUUAAGACAGAAAGAACUUCGGGUCAAGUACUUUACCCUAGCUAUGUAAAAUUAAGCUACAUACAUAGUCACUGGCUUUUGAACGUGCCUUUCUUUA